UACGAAGGGGGCUAGCGUUGCUCGGAAUCACUGGGCGUAAAGGGUGCGUAGGCGGGCUUUUAAGUCAGGGGUGAAAUCCUGGAGCUCAACUCCAGAACUGCCUUUGAUACUGAAGAUCUUGAGUCCGGGAGAGGUGAGUGGAACUCCGAGUGUAGAGGUGAAAUUCGUAGAUAUUCGGAAGAACACCAGUGGCGAAGGCGGCUCACUGGGCCGGUACUGACGCUGAUGUGCGAAAGCGUGGGGAGCAAACAGG
rnacentral:rRNA from 1 species